GACGAACGCUGGCGGCGUGCUUAACACAUGCAAGUCGAACGGAAAGGCCUCUUUCGGGGGGUACUCGAGUGGCGAACGGGUGAGUAACACGUGAGUAACCUGCCCUUGACUUUGGGAUAACUUCAGGAAACUGGGGCUAAUACCGGAUAGGAGCUCCUGCUGCAUGGUGGGGGUUGGAAAGUUUCGGCGGUUGGGGAUGGACUCGCGGCUUAUCAGCUUGUUGGUGGGGUAGUGGCUUACCAAGGCUUUGACGGGUAGCCGGCCUGAGAGGGUGACCGGCCACAGUGGGACUGGGAUACGGCCCAGACUCCUACGGGAGGCAGCAGUGGGGAAUAUUGCACAAUGGGUGGAAGCCUGAUGCAGCAACGCCGUGUGCGGGAUGACGGCCUUCGGGUUGUAAACCGCUUUCGCUCAUGACGAAGCUUUGUGUGACGGUAGUGGGUAAAGAAGCACCGGCUAACUACGUG
rnacentral:rRNA from 1 species